GGGAGGGGGGGGGUGCCUACCAUGCAAGUCGAACGGGGUAUAUAAGCGGAAGUUUACGGAUGGAAGGUUAUAUACUUAGUGGCGGACGGGUGAGUAACGCGUGGGCAACCUGCCCCGUGCCGGGGGAUACCGCCUGGAAACAGGCGCUAAUACCGCAUAAGCGCAUACAGCCGCAUGGGUGUAUGCGGAAAGCUCCGGCGGCACGGGAUGGGCCCGCGCCCGAUUAGCCAGUUGGCGGGGUAACGGCCCACCAAAGCGACGAUCGGUAGCCGGCCUGAGAGGGCGGACGGCCACAUUGGGACUGAGACACGGCCCAAACUCCUACGGGAGGCAGCAGUGGGGAAUAUUGCACAAUGGGGGAAACCCUGAUGCAGCAACGCCGCGUGGGUGAAGGAGCGUUUCGGCGCGUAAAGCCCUGUCAGCGGGGAAGAAGAAAGACGGUACCCGACCAAGAAGCCCCGGCUAACUACGUGCCAGCAGCCGCGGUAAUACGUAGGGGGCGAGCGUUAUCCGGAAUUACUGGGUGUAAAGGGAGCGUAGACGGCGAGGUAAGCCUGAAGUGGAAGCCCGCGGCCCAACCGCGGAACUGCUUUGGGAACUGUUUUGCUGGAGUAUGGGAGGGGUAAGCGGAAUUCCUGGUGUAGCGGUGAAAUGCGUAGAUAUCAGGAGGAACACCGGUGGCGAAGGCGGCUUACUGGACCAUAACUGACGUUGAGGCUCGAAAGCGUGGGGAGCGAACAGGAUUAGAUA
rnacentral:rRNA from 1 species